rnacentral:rRNA from 1 species
GACGAACGCUGGCGGCGUGCCUAAUACAUGCAAGUAGAACGCUGAAGAGAGGAGCUUGCUCUUCUUGGAUGAGUUGCGAACGGGUGAGUAACGCGUAGGUAACCUGCCUUGUAGCGGGGGAUAACUAUUGGAAACGAUAGCUAAUACCGCAUAACAAUGGAUGACACAUGUCAUUUAUUUGAAAGGGGCAAUUGCUCCACUACAAGAUGGACCUGCGUUGUAUUAGCUAGUAGGUGAGGUAAUGGCUCACCUAGGCGACGAUACAUAGCCGACCUGAGAGGGUGAUCGGCCACACUGGGACUGAGACACGGCCCAGACUCCUACGGGAGGCAGCAGUAGGGAAUCUUCGGCAAUGGGGGCAACCCUGACCGAGCAACGCCGCGUGAGUGAGGAAGGUUUUCGGAUCGUAAAGCUCUGUUGUAAGUCAAGAACGGGUGUGAGAGUGGAAAGUUCACACUAUGACGGUAGCUUACCAGAAAGGGACGGCUAACUACGUGCCAGCAGCCGCGGUAAUACGUAGGUCCCGAGCGUUGUCCGGAUUUAUUGGGCGUAAAGCGAGCGCAGCGGUUUGAUAAGUCUGAAGUUAAGGCUGUGGCUCAACCAUAGUUCGCUUUGGAAACUGUCAAACUUGAGUGCAGAAGGGGAGAGUGGAAUUCCAUGUGUAGCGGUGAAAUGCGUAGAUAUAUGGAGGAACACCGGUGGCGAAAGCGGCUCUCUGGUCUGUAACUGACGCUGAGGCUCGAAAGCGUGGGGAGCGAACAGGAUUAGAUACCCUGGUAGUCCACGCCGUAAACGAUGAGUGCUAGGUGUUGGAUCCUUUCCGGGAUUCAGUGCCGCAGCUAACGCAUUAAGCACUCCGCCUGGGGAGUACGACCGCAAGGUUGAAACUCAAAGGAAUUGACGGGGGCCCGCACAAGCGGUGGAGCAUGUGGUUUAAUUCGAAGCAACGCGAAGAACCUUACCAGGUCUUGACAUCCCGAUGCUAUUUCUAGAGAUAGAAAGUUACUUCGGUACAUCGGUGACAGGUGGUGCAUGGUUGUCGUCAGCUCGUGUCGUGAGAUGUUGGGUUAAGUCCCGCAACGAGCGCAACCCCUAUUGUUAGUUGCCAUCAUUCAGUUGGGCACUCUAGCGAGACUGCCGGUAAUAAACCGGAGGAAGGUGGGGAUGACGUCAAAUCAUCAUGCCCCUUAUGACCUGGGCUACACACGUGCUACAAUGGUUGGUACAACGAGUUGCGAGUCGGUGACGGCGAGCUAAUCUCUUAAAGCCAAUCUCAGUUCGGAUUGUAGGCUGCAACUCGCCUACAUGAAGUCGGAAUCGCUAGUAAUCGCGGAUCAGCACGCCGCGGUGAAUACGUUCCCGGGCCU